rnacentral:rRNA from 1 species
GACGAACGCUGGCGGCGUGCUUAACACAUGCAAGUCGAGCGGAGCGGCUAACGGGUGAGUAACGCGUGAGUAACUGCCCCCCUCUCUGGGAUAACAGUUGGAAACGGCUGCUAAUACCGGAUAGUGGGGGAUGACUCGCGUCCUCUCAGCAUGGUGGUGUGGUAGCGGCCUACCAAGGCGACGACGGGUAGCCGGACUGAGAGGGCGACCGGCCACAUUGGGCACAGAUACGGGCCAAACGCCUACGGGAGGCAGCAGUGGGGAAUGUUGCUCAAUGGGGGAAGCCCGGAUGCAGCAACGCGCGUGCGAGAUGGCGGCCUUCGGGUUGUAAGCCGCUUGCGGCCAUGACGCGGUAGUGGCAGAGAAAGCACCGGCUAACUACGUGCCAGCAGCCGCGGUAAUUC